AUUCGUCCAACGGAAGCAGUGAAAGGAAAGCGGCGGACGGGUGAGUAACGCGUGAGUAACCUGCCUUCAGGAGGGGGAUAACAUUCCGAAAGGAAUGCUAAUACCGCAUGACAUUGUAUUUCCGCAUGGAAUAACAAUCAAAGAUUUAUCGCCUGAAGAUGGACUCGCGUCUGAUUAGAUAGUUGGUGGGGUAAAGGCCUACCAAGUCGACGAUCAGUAGCCGAACUGAGAGGUUGAUCGGCCACAUUGGGACUGAGACACGGCCCAGACUCC
rnacentral:rRNA from 1 species